CCUACGGGUGGCAGCAGUGGGGAAUAUUGGACAAUGGGGGGAACCCUGAUCCAGCCAUGCCGCGUGUGUGAAGAAGGCCCUCGGGUUGUAAAGCACUUUCAGUGAGGAAGAACGCCUGGUGGUUAAUACCCAUCAGGAAAGACAUCACUCACAGAAGAAGCACCGGCUAACUCCGUGCCAGCAGCCGCGGUAAUACGGAGGGUGCGAGCGUUAAUCGGAAUUACUGGGCGUAAAGCGCGCGUAGGUGGCUUGAUAAGCCGGUUGUGAAAGCCCCGGGCUCAACCUGGGAACGGCAUCCGGAACUGUCAAGCUAGAGUGCAGGAGAGGAAGGUAGAAUUCCCGGUGUAGCGGUGAAAUGUGUAGAGAUCGGGAGGAAUACCAGUGGCGAAGGCGGCCUUCUGGACUGACACUGACACUGAGGUGCGAAAGCGUGGGUAGCAAACAGGAUUAGAUACCCCGGUAGUC
rnacentral:rRNA from 1 species